rnacentral:rRNA from 1 species
UACGUAGGCAGCAAGCGUUGUUCGGAGUUACUGGGCGUAAAGAGUAUGUAGGCGGUUGGGCAAGUUUGGGGUGAAAUCUCCCGGCUUAACUGGGAGGGUGCGCUAAAGACUGCCUGGCUCGAGUGUGGGAGAGGAAAGCGGAAUUCCUGGUGUAGCGGUGAAAUGCGUAGAUAUCAGGAGGAACACCUGCGGUGUAGACGGCUUUCUGGACCAUAACUGACGCUGAGAUGCGAAAGCGUGGGUAGCAAACAGG